AGAGUUUGAUCCUGGCUCAGGAUUAACGCUAGCGGCGUGCUUUAGGUAUGCAAGUGGAACGAUCCAUCUUCGGAUGGAGAGUCGCGAACGGCUGAGUAACACGUAAGAACUUGCCCCUUGAUGGGAAAUAACCCCGCGAAAGCGGGACUAAUAUCGCAUAGUCUACAUUCAGUAAAAUGGGUGUAGUAAAGGACAUAACUGUUCGUCAGGGGAGGGGCUUGCGGCCUAUCAGCUUGUUGGUGAGGUAAUGGCUCACCAAGGCUACGACGGGUAGGGGGCGUGAGAGCGUGUACCCCCAGAAUGGCACUGAGACACGGGCCAUACACCUACGGGUGGCGCAACCGGGAAUCGUGCGCAAUGGACGAAAGUCUGACGCCGCGACGCCGCGUGAGGGAUGAAUGCCUUUGGGUUGUAAACCUCUUUUGACCUUAGAGAGAUCGAAGGUAGAAUAAGCACCGGCUAACUACGUGCCAGCAGCAGCGGUAAAACGUAGGGUGCAAGCGUUGUCCGGAUUUAUUGGGCGUAAAGAGUUCGUAGGCUUUCCGAAAAGUUACAUUUUAAAUACCAGAGCUUAACUUUGGCACGGGGUGUAAUACUGUCGGAAUUGGAAGGUUUCGGGGCUACUGGAACUUAUCAUGUAGGAGUGAAAUCCGUUGAUAUGAUAAAGAACACCGAGGGCGAAGGCAGGUAGCUAGGAACACUUUGACGCUGAGGGACGAAAGCUAGGGUAGCAAAAGGGAUUAGAGACCCCUGUAGUCCUAGCCGUAAACGAUGCUCGCUAGGGAUGGGAAGCUUUGCUUUCCGUCUCGCAAGCUAACGCGUUAAGCGAGCCGCCUGGGGAGUACGAGCGCAAGCUUAAAACUCAAAGGAAUUGACGGGGACCCGCACAACCAGUGGAGCAUGUGGUUUAAUUCGAGACGAACCGAAGAACCUUACCUGGGUUUGACAUUCUACCUGCGAGCCAGUGGAAACACAGGAGGCCUUAGAGGGUGGUAGAACAGGUGGUGCAUGGCUGUCGUCAGCUCGUGCCGUGGGGUGUUCCCUUCAGUGGGGUAACGAGCGCAACCCCUGCCGUAUGUUAAAUAUUCAUACGGGACUGAUCGCCUGAGUGCGAUAGGAAGUGGGGACGACGUCAAGUCAGCAUGUCCCUUAUAUCCAGGGCUACACACAUGCUACAAUGGAGCCGACAAAGGGUUGCCAAGCAGUAAUGCGGAGCUAAUCCCAUAAACGGCUUCUCAGUUGGGAUUGAGGGCUGCAAUUCGCCCUCAUGAACGUGGAAUUGGUAGUAAUCGCGAAUCAGCCAAGUCGCGGUGAAUACGUUCUCGGGUCUUGUACACACCGCCCGUCAAGUUAGUGAAGUUGGGGGCACCCGAACCUCUGUUGUACAGGGGGAAGGUGAAACCAGCGACAAGAAUUAAGUCGUAACAAGGUAACC
rnacentral:rRNA from 1 species